GCUCUGAACUGAAAAAUCUGAAAUCCAGCUUGGAAUUCACACCUAUCCUACUGUCAUUUGUCUUGUGAGUAGAUUGAUUAAAAUUAGCAUUGCUUCUCCAUUCCUCUGUCCUUAAAUGUAACAGUCUAGUUGAAGAUAAAAGAUUUUAGUUUGUUGUCAAUGGUUCUGAUUUUCAAGAUCAGGUCCACAGUGGUUUAUGAUAGAACCCUUGGUAAUUUUUUCUAAUUGCCAGAAUGGUCUGAUAUGCAAUAGGCUUGUUUUUAUUUUAGAGAAGGUACACCUUAGGUAUGUAGCUUUGCCUUAAAGAUGCAUUUUUUGCUUUGUAUUGUCUUUUACAACAGAAUUACUGAGCAAGUUAUAAUGUGUUUUAAAGGACUUUCUGUGUAAACAUAAUAACAAAAUUGUAAAGAAGAAAACUGGGCAAACGGAUAAGGAAACUGGAUAUUGCUAGGCUCAAGGAGGUGAACAUGAUGGUGCAGUUCUAUAAUUCUAGCUAGUCCAGGGAAUAAGGUUGAGAUUCAAGAGUAGCCCACACAAAAGUUCUCAAGACUUGGGUUUUGGUGGUGUGUGCCUGUCAUCCCAGCAACUUGAGAAGUGGAAAUAAAAAGAUCCAGCCUGGCCCAGACAAAAAUUAAGGCCUGACUGGAAACAUGAAAAAAGGACAGAGGAAGAUCCUAAAUUUAAACCCAAUACUGUCAAUAAUAAAGAAAUUAUGGUAAAGAAGGGGGCUACAAUCUUGAUAAGAAAUGUACUCAUUAUCUUGUCCAUGUAAUUGUAACCCCUCUGUAUGGUAUUUUCACAAUAAAAAUUUAAAUUUAAAAAAGAAAUUAUGGUAGAAAAAUUUCCAAAUGCUAUUUAAUAUAUUAAUAUCUGAACGCAUACAGCCCAGUAUGGUAUCAAGAAUGAACUUUUUUUUUGAAAAUUUGAAUAAUUUUAGUAAAGGAAGAGUCUAGCUACUAUUAGGUAAGAUUCAUUCUUUUAAUUAAAUGAAUGAAAAUAUACAGUUUCAGUGGUAUCAUAGAAACAGGCUGUUUUGUAAAAAAGAAAAAUACUUAGUACCCUAAAUUAGGUAGGUCUAUUUGUCUUAUUUCUUUCCCACCAUUUUAGUUCUUUUAAACUUUUAAAAAAUACUUUUAUUUACUACUCAAACAUGUUUUUGAAAGAGGUGGACUUUUAAACAGGUUGAAAACCAUUUAUUAACAAUUCCCUAAAUAAUCACUAAAAACACCCAUUAUCUAAAUGCAAUUAAAAUUGUUCUAAAUUAGUAAAUACGCUAGUAGUAGAUUUCAUAUAACUUUUCUAUAUAACUUUUGCUUUGGAUGUUUCUUUUCAACUCUUGUUUUUUGGUUAAAUGUCUCAUUGUACAGCUGACCUUGAACUUUAACCUGUAGCUCCAGAUGGCAUAAAACUCACUUUUCUCAUGCCUCUGCCUCUUAAGUGCUGGGAUUCUCACAGCUAGCUACAAGGUUUUUUUUGUUAGUGAUUUGUAUUUACUUACAAUAGUAAUGAAUUUAUUUUUAAGACAAAGCUUUAAAAUACUCAAUUUUUCUUCAAUGUGGAAUGUAAUUAAAAUACAAUUAAUAUGUAAUAUGCAUUUCAAAUUCACUUGUACUAUCUACUGCUUAGAAAGUAAAUAUGACUAAUCAUAAUCACUUCAUAAUAAGCUUUCUCUAGAUUUCAUUUUCAGCUACAUUGGAACUCUUCUCAUGUUUGGGUGACAAUUUGCAAGUCAGUACUCUUUAGUAAUAUUCUUAAUUUGCUAAAGAUUGAGCUUUUCAUGUGAAAUCAUGGUAUCACUUAUUUUUACUUUUCUGAUUUUAGAAAUACUGAAGGAAGCUUAAGAGAAGUGGAACUGUGGUUCAGCUUAAGAAUUAUAUAUAUUGUCUGAGAAGUCUUUUCAUAUUUAAUUCAAACAAGGAGAAAUGGUAUGAUUAAAUAACUAUAUUUUUCAAAGGUUGUGCCUAACUGCCUUUGAAGGGAGUUCACUACUGUGAUAUUAGGAAUUUUUUUUUCUUCAUCAUUGAUCUUGGGGGGAAAUUUUUACUGUAUGACUUACUAUUUACAACAUAAAUGCGGAUAGAAACAGCUGUCUAGUGAGAGAAUUAGCAUUGCUCUCUAGGACAUGCUGUUCUGCAACUCUCAUGUGAAUACCAGAAAAGUGGCUUCCUGUGUUAGGUACUGUUUUAAUGUAGUGUAGCUCAAAGUGGUAUAUACAUACACUGGAUACCACAUUGUAAGUACAAUACACUAACAAAUAUCAGUCUGUUUAGGUGGAAUGAUUUCUCAGCUGUUAGGGUUGUCACAGAGCCCAAGUACAUGUGUAAUUUUGAGCUAGCAUCAUAGUGCAUAGGAACCAGUGGUUGGUAUAUGCUGGUCAUCCCAUUAGAGUAGAUGUGUUUGGAUCUUAGUUAAAUUACUAAGUACAAAAUGUUUCGUGGUCCACGCCCCAAAAAUGUUUACUUUUUCCCUUAUACGCCCUAGAAGGAAAUUUUAAACAAUCACACAUUUCAAAUAAAAUGGACAUCUCAUUAUUCUAUUUUAAAACUUCAACUGAUGCAUAAUAUUUGACUUUUCUGCAUAGGUUCUUGCAAGGUCUUUCUGUGAAGAGAAACAUAUGUUUGUAAUUAUACCAGGACAAGGUCUACUUAUUAUCCUGGGGAAAAAACUACAAAAGAAAGAAGUGACAGUAUUGAAGGAAAUUGACAGAACUUCCAUAAAACCAAAGACUGGCAGAAACAAAGUAAAUAAUGAUGAAACUAAGCUACAGAUCACCCAGAAGAAGUAUCUCCUUCCAAAAAAAAAAAACUGUGGCAUUUCACUCUCUGAGAAACAAA